CAACGCUGGCGGCGUGCCUAAUACAUGCAAGUCGAGCGGAUCGAUGGGAGCUUGCUCCCUGAGAUCAGCGGCGGACGGGUGAGUAACACGUGGGUAACCUGCCUGUAAGACUGGGAUAACUCCGGGAAACCGGGGCUAAUACCGGAUAACACCUACCCCCGCAUGGGGGAAGGUUGAAAGGUGGCUUCGGCUAUCACUUACAGAUGGACCCGCGGCGCAUUAGCUAGUUGGUGAGGUAAUGGCUCACCAAGGCGACGAUGCGUAGCCGACCUGAGAGGGUGAUCGGCCACACUGGGACUGAGACACGGCCCAGACUCCUACGGGAGGCAGCAGUAGGGAAUCUUCCGCAAUGGACGAAAGUCUGACGGAGCAACGCCGCGUGAGUGAAGAAGGUUUUCGGAUCGUAAAACUCUGUUGUUAGGGAAGAACAAGUGCCGUUCGAAUAGGGCGGCGCCUUGACGGUACCUACCAGAAAGCCACGGCUAACUACGUGCCACACC
rnacentral:rRNA from 2 species